rnacentral:rRNA from 1 species
UAGGGAAUAUUGCGCAAUGGGGGAAACCCUGACGCAGCGACGCCGCGUGAGCGAUGAAGGCCUUCGGGUCGUAAAGCUCUGUCGUAUGGGAAUAAACAAAUGAAUGUACCAUGCAAGAAAGGAUCGGCUAACUUCGUGCCAGCAGCCGCGGUAAGACGAGGGAUCCUAGCGUUGUUCGGAAUCAUUGGGCGUAAAGAGGGCGUAGGUGGCUAUUUAAGUCAGUUGUGAAAGCCUGGGGCUCAACCCCAGAAGUGCAAUUGAUACUAUUUAGCUUGAGUGUGGAAAAGGUAACUAGAAUUCCUGGUGUAGUGGUAAAAUACGUAGAUAUCAGGAGGAAUGCCGGUUGCGAAGGCGGGUUACUAGUCCAACACUGACACUGAGGCCCGAAAGCGUGGGGAUC